rnacentral:lncRNA from 1 species
CGCGGUAUAUUUUACAUCACCGGCCACCAUGCAUGCAUUAGACUAGAGCCCUUUAUUCCCAUUGCUCAUCUGCCGCGAUUAGUUAUUAACUAGUAAUCCAGUGCUCGGGUCACCGGUGUCUCCUGCUAGCCAGCUAGCUUAGCCAUGAUUUCAGGCCAUGCGGAUGCGGGGGCGAAUAUUAGCUUCGUCCCUUCAGUGAGUGAGUUAGUGCGGUGUUCAAACACGCUGGUCGCUCGCUAGUGGCCGCCGUUGGGCCGGAGAUAUUUGAACCAUUUUUAUACCUUGUAAAAUAAGAUCUCAUAUCGUAACCUCGGCGACCGGAGCACUACUACUGUUACUAUCAGUACAGUACUCCAUUAUUAAGUAGCAGCACAGUGGUAGUUGCUAAUGCAUGCUGCAGCCAGUGGUGGCGUGAAACGAGAGAGUGCUUGGUGUGGAUGGAAGUGAAAGAAAACGACGGGCCCUGGCUGGUUCCAUUGAACUCGACUCGGCUGGAUUGAAUUGAAUUCAGCUAGUGCGGAGCUCACAUCAAGAUAUGCUAUGCAAUUCCGUCGUCCUGGCUGGACCGACCGGGACAUGCAUGAAUGCUGUGACAUUGCAUAUCAUAUCAUCAUCUCUUGGGCNNNN